CCUACGGGAGGCAGCAGUGGGGAAUAUUGGGCAAUGGGCGAAAGCCUGACCCAGCAACGCCGCGUGAAGGAAGAAGGCUUUCGGGUUGUAAACUUCUUUUCUGAGGGACGAAGAAAGUGACGGUACCUCAGGAAUAAGCCACGGCUAACUACGUGCCAGCAGCCGCGGUAAUACGUAGGUGACACGCGUUAUCCGGAUUUAAUGGGUGUAAAGGGGGCGUAGGCGGGAAAGCAAGUCCGAUGUGAAAACUCAGGGCUCAACCCUGAGCCUGCAUUUGAAACUGUUUUUCUUGAGUGCUGGAGAGGUAAUCGGAAUUCCGUGUGUAGCGGUGAAAUGCGUAGAUAUACGGAGGAACACCAGUGGCGAAGGCGGAUUGCUGGACAGUAACUGACGCUGAGGCUCGAAAGCGUGGGGAGCAAACAGGAUUAGAUACCCCUGUAGUC
rnacentral:rRNA from 1 species